GGAGGGGUGGCAGAGCGGCUGAAUGCACUGGUCUUGAAAACCAGCGACGGUUUACCCCGUCCGAGAGUUCAAAUCUCUCCUCCUCCGCCA
rnacentral:tRNA from 1 species